AGCUUGUUGGUGAGGUAAUGGCUCACCAAGGCGUCGACGGGUAGCCGGCCUGAGAGGGUGACCGGCCACACUGGGGCUGAGACACGGCCCAGACUCCUACGGGAGGCAGCAGUGGGGAAUAUUGCACAAUGGGCGCAAGCCUGAUGCAGCAACGCCGCGUGAGGGAUGACGGCCUUCGGGUUGUAAACCUCUUUUAGCAGGGAAGAAGCGAAAGUGACGGUACCUGCAGAAAAAGCGCCGGCUAACUACGUGCCAGCAGCCGCGGUAAUACGUAGGGCGCAAGCGUUAUCCGGAAUUAUUGGGCGUAAAGAGCUCGUAGGCGGUUUGUCGCGUCUGCUGUGAAAUCCCGAGGCUCAACCUCGGGUCUGCAGUGGGUACGGGCAGACUAGAGUGCGGUAGGGGAGAUUGGAAUUCCUGGUGUAGCGGUGGAAUGCGCAGAUAUCAGGAGGAACACCGAUGGCGAAGGCGGAUCUCUGGGCCGUAACUGACGCUGAGGAGCGAAAGGGUGGGGAGCAAACAGGCUUAGAUACCCUGGUAGUCCACCCCGUAAACGUUGGGAACUAGUUGUGGGGUCCAUUCCACGGAUUCCGUGACGCAGCUAACGCAUUAAGCUCCCCGCCUGGGGAGUACGGAAUCUCUAGAGGAUCCCC
rnacentral:rRNA from 1 species